rnacentral:rRNA from 1 species
AAUGGGUCAGCGACUUAUAUUCUGUAGCAAGGUUAACCGAAUAGGGGAGCCGAAGGGAAACCGAGUCUUAACUGGGCGUUAAGUUGCAGGGUAUAGACCCGAAACCCGGUGAUCUAGCCAUGGGCAGGUUGAAGGUUGGGUAACACUAACUGGAGGACCGAACCGACUAAUGUUGAAAAAUUAGCGGAUGACUUGUGGCUGGGGGUGAAAGGCCAAUCAAACCGGGAGAUAGCUGGUUCUCCCCGAAAGCUAUUUAGGUAGCGCCUCGUGAAUUCAUCUCCGGGGGUAGAGCACUGUUUCGGCAAGGGGGUCAUCCCGACUUACCAACCCGAUGCAAACUGCGAAUACCGGAGAAUGUUAUCACGGGAGACACACGGCGGGUGCUAACGUCCGUCGUGAAGAGGGAAACAACCCAGACCGCCAGCUAAGGUCCCAAAGUCAUGGUUAAGUGGGAAACGAUGUGGGAAGGCCCAGACAGCCAGGAUGUUGGCUUAGAAGCAGCCAUCAUUUAAAGAAAGCGUAAUAGCUCACUGGUCGAGUCGGCCUGCGCGGAAGAUGUAACGGGGCUAAACCAUGCACCGAAGCUGCGGCAGCGACGCUUAUGCGUUGUUGGGUAGGGGAGCGUUCUGUAAGCCUGUGAAGGUGUGCUGUGAGGCAUGCUGGAGGUAUCAGAAGUGCGAAUGCUGACAUAAGUAACGAUAAAGCGGGUGAAAAGCCCGCUCGCCGGAAGACCAAGGGUUCCUGUCCAACGUUAAUCGGGGCAGGGUGAGUCGACCCCUAAGGCGAGGCCGAAAGGCGUAGUCGAUGGGAAACAGGUUAAUAUUCCUGUACUUGGUGUUACUGCGAAGGGGGGACGGAGAAGGCUAUGUUGGCCGGGCGACGGUUGUCCCGGUUUAAGCGUGUAGGCUGGUUUUCCAGGCAAAUCCGGAAAAUCAAGGCUGAGGCGUGAUGACGAGGCACUACGGUGCUGAAGCAACAAAUGCCCUGCUUCCAGGAAAAGCCUCUAAGCAUCAGGUAACAUCAAAUCGUACCCCAAACCGACACAGGUGGUCAGGUAGAGAAUACCAAGGCGCUUGAGAGAACUCGGGUGAAGGAACUAGGCAAAAUGGUGCCGUAACUUCGGGAGAAGGCACGCUGAUAUGUAGGUGAAGUGAUUUACUCAUGGAGCUGAAAUCAGUCGAAGAUACCAGCUGGCUGCAACUGUUUAUUAAAAACACAGCACUGUGCAAACACGAAAGUGGACGUAUACGGUGUGACGCCUGCCCG